rnacentral:snRNA from 1 species
GUGCUUGCUUCGGCAGCACAUAUACUAAAAUUAGAAGUUACAGAAGAAA